UAGUAUCUCCUGAGACUGAAGUCUUCUGUUUUUCCACAGAACAGGUGCUUUUCAGCAGCAGUGCUGUGCAUUUCUCCACCCUCCACCUGUUGGGCCUCAGGUGUGUUCAGGAGAGGUUGUGUCAUGGGCUAGAGGACAAGUUUAGUCCCCAUGCCUGACACUAUGUUAGGCCACA
ensembl:misc_RNA